ensembl:lncRNA
GUUUGUAAUAUGUUCUUAGCAUCUAACGAGUCACAAUGUGAUUUAAAUAGGGUGACCAACCGUCCUCUUUUCCCCGGACAUGUCCACUUUUCACGUUCUGUCCGGGGCGUCCGGGGGGAUUUUCGAGAUUGAUAAAAACGUCCGGCUUUUCCUAUAUUCCGACAGAGGACCCAUGUGUGUGACAUCAUCCCCGAACUGCUGCUGAGCGCUUGUAAGUUGUUCUGCGCUCUCCGACGGGACAGACAGCCCGCAGGAUGAUGUUUAAAAGAUCCUAAAACGCAAGUGCAUCUUUUCAGACGAACUCCAAAAGAAAUUUCCCUCGUACCGACCCAGUACUGUGAUCUUAUCUGCCUUGAGGAACCUCCAAGAAAAGAUCAGGAGGUUGGAGAUGGAAAAAGGACAUGCAGAGUGGAGUCUGCAUGCACUGGGAAAAGAUGCUUCACAAACACUUGUGCAGAAUGGUGAUAUUACACCGAGAUUCUUAAAUGAUCAAAAAGACCCAGAAAGACAGAAGUGCCCAGUCCAACUGCGUAUGACAUGGUUUGAGUGAAAAACAAACAUCAACAACAAAACCUUAAGUUAAUUGCUCAAGACCUGCAGCAGUCCAAUGAGGAGGCUCACUGGUGUCACAACUUGGGUAGUCACUCUUCCUGUUACAAAUGACGACGACAUAGCACUGAUGAGGCUCACUAGGUCGAUCACAGUGUCAGAUACCAGAAGACCAGUUUGUCUGCCUCAUAAAGACUAUAUCAUUCCAGCUAGAACCUACAUGACUGUGAUGGGUGGGGAUACCAGUCGGAAAAUGGGGGACAGUGGAGGCCCUGUGGUGUACCACAGCACCUCAAGAUGGAAUCUGGUAGGAGUGGUGAGCUGAGGUGUUGGCUGUGCCCGGAAGAGAAAGCCAGGUGUUUACACCUACAUGGAAAUAAUGCUCAACUGGAUUCAAACAGUCAGUGGGGUACUGCAUAUGGAUUAAUAAUAGACCCAUGAAUGUUGAAAGGAAGUCACAUCGCAACAGUGUUUGUCCCUUCAUUGACUAAGAAUUUGCCUCAAAAAUAUUUUCAAAAUAAUACUGUAAUGUAAUUCAUACAGUCCCUAAGAUGAUUUUUAUUUCAUCUCAACAUAAAAACCAAUGAUGUCAUCCACUGUGACAAACAACCACCACGAGAAUCCAGUGUGGUCUACCUCUGAUAGAUUGCGAAAGUUAAACAAACCUGUUUUUUCAUAAGCGUCAAAGUAGUCACACAUCCACAGCGACCUUAAAAUACUCUCACUAUAUCCAGAAUAUUCAGACUAGUUUUGCACUCAAGAAAAACUCAUUUGAACAGGAAAUCAACCUGAAUUUGUUUUAAAACUGUUUCUUUACUGAAAAAUGUAGUUUGUUGUAUCAUAUAUAAAAAUAGUUGGACUUGAGUAAGAGUGCCAUGGGGGUUAAUAUUUGUGAAUAUUUUCCUUUUUGUUGUUUAAUAUAUCCGAGUCAUUUGCAAAGACAAUAAAAACAAUGUUAACU